rnacentral:rRNA from 1 species
CACAUGCAAGUCGAGGGGCAUCAUGAGGUAGCAAUACCUUGAUGGCGACCGGCGCACGGGUGAGUAACGCGUAUGCAACCUGCCCGAUACCGGGGUAUAGCCCAUGGAAACGUGGAUUAACACCCCAUAGUACUUUUAUCCUGCAUGGGAUGUGAGUUAAAUGUUUAAGGUAUCGGAUGGGCAUGCGUCCUAUUAGUUAGUUGGCGGGGUAACAGCCCACCAAGACGAUGAUAGGUAGGGGUUCUGAGAGGAAGGUCCCCCACAUUGGAACUGAGACACGGUCCAAACUCCUACGGGAGGCAGCAGUGAGGAAUAUUGGUCAAUGGACGAGAGUCUGAACCAGCCAAGUCGCGUGAGGGAAGACUGCCCUAUGGGUUGUAAACCUCUUUUAUAAGGGAAGAAUAAGUUCUACGUGUAGAAUGAUGCCUGUACCUUAUGAAUAAGCAUCGGCUAACUCCGUGCCAGCAGCCGCGGUAAUACGGAGGAUGCGAGCGUUAUCCGGAUUUAUUGGGUUUAAAGGGUGCGUAGGCGGUUUAUUAAGUUAGUGGUUAAAUAUUUGAGCU